CCUACGGGUGGCAGCAGUGGGGAAUAUUGGACAAUGGGCGAAAGCCUGAUCCAGCCAUGCCGCGUGUGUGAAGAAGGCCUUCGGGUUGUAAAGCACUUUCAGUGGGGAAGAAAGCCUUGGGGCUAAUACCCUCGAGGAAGGACAUCACCCACAGAAGAAGCACCGGCUAACUCCGUGCCAGCAGCCGCGGUAAUACGGAGGGUGCGAGCGUUAAUCGGAAUUACUGGGCGUAAAGCGCGCGUAGGCGGUCUGAUAAGCCGGUUGUGAAAGCCCCGGGCUCAACCUGGGAACGGCAUCCGGAACUGUCAGGCUAGAGUGCAGGAGAGGAAGGUAGAAUUCCCGGUGUAGUGGUGAAAUGCGUAGAGAUCGGGAGGAAUACCAGUGGCGAAGGCGGCCUUCUGGACUGACACUGACGCUGAGGUGCGAAAGCGUGGGUAGCAAACAGGAUUAGAUACCCUGGUAGUC
rnacentral:rRNA from 1 species